rnacentral:lncRNA from 1 species
AGAAGCGCAACAAAUAAAGGUGUGCUUCAGGGAGCCCAUACAUCACGUGACAGCCCUCCAGCCUCGCUGAUGACGUUGGCUCCCACUUGUUCAACUGUAAACUUAGCUGGAUUCAAUAUCUGCAUCAACAGUGAUCAUAUAACCAUAGAGUAAAGAGAGAAAUUGCAGUCAGUAUGUGGAUUUAUACUUUUUAGUCAGGAGGCGUUCUCGAACACCAUUCAUCGGUAGAAACAUUUAUGGUCUACAUUCUUUGCCAGCGCAAGUGUUAUUAUAUCGUUAUUGUUGAGAUUGUGUUGUUGUAACUUAAUUAUAUCACCGUUUUUAUUAUUAUUUUUUGUCCCCAAGUGAAUUAAUCAGACCAACAGGUUAAAGAUCUUGACAGUGUGGUGAUUUUUAGUUCUGUAGGGUAAAAAUCAAUUACAAAGCAACUAAACUUAAAUUAAGAUCUUGACAGUGUGGUGAUUUUUAGUUCUGUAGGGUAAAAAUCAAUUACAAAGCAACUAAAAUUAAAUUAAGAUCUUGAACACCCAAUUUGAACGAGUCUUCUGCUUUUCUGAUGUGUUGAAAUGUUUUACAUGUUCCAAAACAAGGAUAGCAGUUGCACUGCAGAUCUCCACAUUAGUAAACAGGUAAAAAGCCUCGGUUGAGACAUGUAACCGGAUGUCUUCCCAUGGCUACCUAUCUGCAAACGCUCCAAUAAAAUUAGCUGUGUGGUUCCAGUCAAAAUUAUUAGCCAUUUUAGAAAUUAUAUUAAGCAUAUUCUUACAGAAGUCAAAAGUCAGAAGAGAAAUCAACGAAUAACAAGAAAGCCAUGACUUCCCAAAACAACAGGAACAGUUUUCAAACUAUCAUGAACAAUUAAGUUACAAUGGACAUUCAGAAGGGCUUACCUUAUUUUGGGCAGAUAAUCCAACAAGUGCAUUAAGUUGAUAAAAAUACUUGCAGUGAUGCUUGUUAUUUUAAGAUCAGAACGAAAAACAUAAAAAAGAAAGAGUUGCAAAAGGAAAUUAAUGGAGUAAUCCCAACUGAUAAUAAACGCAAUCUGAAACUCAUGAUUUUAAACGCAAUCUGAUAAUAACUUUAACUUUUCAUUUGAUAACUUUGUAAUCAACUGUUUUUCAUAGUUUAUAUCAUAAAUUGUAACCCUCGUGUGAACGAAGUUACUAGUCCAAGACAUCAACAAAAUUAUGGAUCCUCAAUGUCAGAAGGAAACUUUGCUCCCUUUACUAAAUUUUGUUCUUGUUCCGUAUCUGUCAACCCGACGAAAAGUGCAUGCCAAAUUGUUAUGUAUGAAGGUAAAUGGCAUACAGUCAUAACUCAAUUUCAGGGUUAGAUCACAAAAAAUAAACAUGAACUUAUAGUUGUUAAAAAACAAAAAUCAUAAGCAUAUAUAAUGCAAUCGUGUAGAAAAUUCAAAGCCAACGAAGAAAUAUUUUCCAGCAGAUACAAGGUGGCCCAUCAUGUGGUGUGGUGAAUCAAUGUGUACGAUAUGUUCUAUCUUUGCAAGAAGUGAAAAAGCUUAAAUACAUUAACAUGUCCCUCUCCUAUUUAUACAGAAAAAAGAAAGGAUUUUCCUCAACAGAAUAGAGGAUUUUUGUUAACAGAAUUGAAAGAUUUCCUUAUAUAGUUGGAAAAAUCUUAUCUUCUAUCAUGCCCCCGCAAGAUAGUACUCCUGUCAAGGAUACCAAUCUUGGAUCGAUGCAAAAAAUGAUUUACGAGUAGAGGCUUCAUAAGUAGGACAAGAGCAAAUCGUUGCUGCGAUUGCUGUUGUUGUGAGGGCACAGGUGUUCCCUUCGUUCUCCGUAAGUCCGUCGACUGCUAGCAGAUCAGCGAAGACUAUCGCGAUGAGAAAGAUGAGGAUUGAUUGUGGAGCCUCUUAGGAAUAUGGCUACAGCGGCGUUGGUCGAUGGCCGAAGUCAAAGGCGAAGCUUCGCUUUUCUCAGCGGUGUUAGUCGCUGGCCAAAGGCAAGAGUGAAAUUUUGCUUUUCUCAUUGNNNNNNNNNNNNNNNNNNNNNNNNNNNNNNNNNNNNNNNNNNNNNNNNNNNNNNNNAAGCUUCACCCUUGCCUACGACCAACGACCAACACCGCUGUAGCUACAUUCCUAAGAGGCUCCGCAGCCAAUCCUCAUCUUCCUCACCACGGUAGUUUUUGCUGAUCUGCCAAUAGUUGGUGGAUUUAAGGAGAACGGAGAGUGGACUUAAGGAGAACGAAGGGAAUGCUUGUGCCCUCACAACAACAACAAUCGCAGUAGCAAUAGCGAUCUGCUCUUACCCUACUCACGAAGCCUCUCACUCGUAAACUAUUCUUUACAUCAAUCCAAGAUUGAUAUCCUUGACAAGAACACCUCUUGCAGGGAUAUAAUAGAAAAUAAGAUUUUUCCAACUAUACGAGGAAAUCUCUCUAUUCUAUUGAGAAUAAUCCUCUAUUCUGUUGAAGAAAAUCCUUCCAGCUCUCAAUAAUUAUUCUUAUCUUUUUAUCUUUUAACAAACCAAUAACUGAACAAACUAAAAUAUGAAUCACAAGAUAAGGGAAUAUGUGAGUGGACAAAAAACUAUGGAACAAUGAUUGAUGUUGACUAUUUAAGAUCACCAAACGAUCCUCCCAAAAUUUCAAGCUCAAAUCUAAUGUCUUGCAAUGCAUACAGUGUUGCCUGCAUCGAUCUGCAGAAUUCAUUAACAAAUCAAUUAAGUUCGACAAAAGAUGCUUGCAUUGACUCCUAUGCCGAUCACAUACUGACAACUUAAUCAUUAAAAACAAAACAAGAACGUGAAAUAGAUCAUAUCACAUAUCACCUGCGGCAAGAAUACAAAGAACAUGCCAACCAAAAGAAUCCAACUAUAGUUAAUACCCGAAGAACCCUAAAUCUCAGAGACAGCCCUUUAGUCAACAAAAUAAAAAUGAAAUGCCAUCGAACACCAAGAUUAAUGGAAAGAUUGAAAAAGGAAAAGAAAACGAAUGAAGAUCUUGAAUCGAUGAUGCUUUGAAGGAAAGCGGACGGCAAGAUGAUCCGCACAUCGAUAAUCCGAAUGACAUCUAAUCAAUCGAAGAGAUAUGAUCACGAUCCGAGAUGGAUCCAAGAAUAAUCAAAUGCCAUCAAAAGCUACGAUUCAUGGAGAGAUUUAAAGAGAAAGAAAAAACGAAUGAAACAGAUGGAGUCGUACAUGAAAUCUUUAAUCGGUGAUCCUCUGAAGGAAAGCGGACGGGAACACGUCGUAAUCCGUACAACACUAAUCGAUCAUAGGGGUAUGUUCACGAGCCGAGAGAAAACGAUUCAAGAAGAAUCAAAUGCCAUCAAACACCAACAUUCUCCGAGAGAUCGAAAGAAAAGAAAAACGAACGACUCACAUGGAAUCGUAUCUUAAGUUCUUGAAUCGGUGAGACCCUGUGGAGGGAUGUGAAGGGAAAGAUCGUCCAGACAGAGAUAAACAGAACAAACUCUGAUUGAACGAGAGAAAUGAUCACGAUCGGAGAGAAAUCGUUUCAAGAAUAAGCAAAUGCCAUCAAAUACCAAGAAUUCUUAGAGAAAUCUAAAGAGAAAGAAACGAACGGCUCGUUCUUGAAUCAGUGAGAUCAUGUGGUGGAACGUGGACGUGAAGAUCCUCCACAUAUCGAUCAUCCGGAUAAACUCCAAACAGAACGAAGAGAUAUGAUCACGAUCCGAGAGGAAUCGAUUCAAGAAUAAUCAAAACUCAUCAAACACCAAGAUCCAUGGAUAGAUCGAAAGAUAAAAAAGGAACGAUACGCGCGGAGUCGUGCCUAAAGUUCUUGAAUUAGCGUGACCCUAUGGAGGAAUUUGGAUGGGAAGAUCGUCCACACAUCCAUAAACCUAUUCAAACUCUAAAUCGAUCAAAGAUAUAUGAUCACGAUCCAAGAGAAACCGAUUCAACAAGAAUAAAAAGCAUCCAUCUAUAUUUAACCCAAGAAACCAUAAAUCAAAGAAAUCACCCAAGAAAAGCAAGAUUCACGGAGUGAUCGAAGACAUAAAUGGAAUUAUACCAGCAAAUACUGAAUCGACUGAUUCCUCGGAAGGAUCAAAGAUGGGAAGAUCGACCUCUGGCGAGACAUCGAUCGGAAAGAGCCACUCCAUGAUCCAAACGAGCUCUAAUCGGUCGAACACGACAGAGAAAAGGAGGCAGGCGUUCAAGAAACGAAAAAUGGGAAGGCAAGAGCGAGGCUUCAUAUUCACAUAUAUAUACCGCCUGGCUUGUUAAAGACGCAC